rnacentral:lncRNA from 1 species
ACUUUCAGAAGCUGGGAUUGGCAGUGGGCAGGGAUGGGGUGGCCCAGUUCCUGGCUGGGCCCCAGCACUUGGGCUGACCCGCCUCCCCACAGGAGCCGUGUGUGAGUUCUGCCAGCCCCGGGAGUCUGAGCUGUAUCAGAAGGAGGUAUCCCAUCUGAAUGCCCUGGAGGAGCGCUUCUCGCGCCUCUGGACGCAGUGCCAGCGCUGCCAGGGCAGCCUGCACGAGGACGUCAUCUGCACCAGCCGGGACUGCCCCAUCUUCUACAUGCGCAAGAAGGUGCGGAAGGACCUGGAAGACCAGGAGCAGCUCCUGCGGCGCUUCGGACCCCCUGGACCUGAGGCCUGGUGACCUUGCAAGCAUCCCAUGGGGCGGGGGCGGGACCAGGGAGAAUUAAUAAAGUUCUGGACUUUU